GGGGGCCCGCACAAGCGGCGGAGCAUGCGGAUUAAUUCGAUGCAACGCGAAGAACCUUACCAAGGCUUGACAUAUACGAGAACGCACUGGAGACAGUGAACUCUUUGGACACUCGUAUACAGGUGGUGCAUGGUUGUCGUCAGCUCGUGUCGUGAGAUGUUGGGUUAAGUCCCGCAACGAGCGCAACCCUCGUCCUAUGUUGCCAGCACGUAAUGGUGGGAACUCAUGGGAUACUGCCGGGGUCAACUCGGAGGAAGGUGGGGACGACGUCAAAUCAUCAUGCCCCUUAUGUCUUGGGCUUCACGCAUGCUACAAUGGCCGGUACAAAGGGUUGCGAUACUGUGAGGUGGAGCUAAUCCCAAAAAGCCGGUCUCAGUUCGGAUUGGGGUCUGCAACUCGACCCCAUGAAGUCGGAGUCGCUAGUAAUCGCAGAUCAGCAACGCUGCGGUGAAUACGUUCCCGGGCCUUGUACACACCGCCCGUCAAGUCACGAAAGUUGGUAACACCCGAAGCCGGUGGCCUAACCCCUUGUGGGAGGGAGCUGUCGAAGGUGGGACUGGCGAUUG
rnacentral:rRNA from 1 species